rnacentral:lncRNA from 1 species
CAAGAUCUUGUAGGGAUAGGAACAUUCCAGGCAGAGGGAACAGCAUGUGCAAAGGUAUGGAGGCCAGAAGGCAGAUGAGGAACUUGAGAAAGAGCCUGUUCAAUGUGGCUAGAGCACAGAGUGCAUGACAGCAAGUGGUGAAAGAUGAAGUGGGAAAGAAAGGCCUCUCUGCUAGUCUGAGAACCUUAUGAUCACCUCUGCUUCUUUAUGCACUGCCUACCUCUCUAAACAGACCGCAUGGGCCUUGAGGGGCGGGACUGUGUUGCUGCUGCUGCCUUGUCACUGUCUCAUAGCUCCAGGCUCAGCGCUGUAGGGGCAGUAGCCAAAGGAAGAGCCCAGGCCUGGCUGGGCUAGCAGGCAGGUCCUCCUGGAGCCAAAACAGAUCCUCCCACGUGAAGUUUGAAAGGAAGCAUCUUGCAGCUCCGUCUAAUUACAGGCAGCCGGUCCUAGACUGGAUGGAGACCAACAGUAGAGACGUGGGCUGGGAGCUUGACUGUCGGAAAACUUGGAUUAUGAUCUCCAAACUUCCUCCUACCAGGAAGAGCAUGAGUUUUGAGUCCGAGAGCUCUGGGUUUCCAGAAGGAGCCGUUUUCCCAUGCCCCACUCACACGAUCCUGGAAAAGGAGAGCAACCCGAGAUGCCCCAGGUUAGGGACAGGCCUGUGUGACCUUGUGUUUCAACAAAUGGAUCACAAACAAUGCAACCUGCACCUCUCCGGCCUUCCCCACCCAGUCGGAGUUCUCCGCUCCACAUCAUCGCCUCUCCCGCUGAAAGUUCCAAGUUCUGAUCUCCCCUUCCCUACCUCUUUUCUUGACGUCUCUGGAACAAGCUAUCUGAAAGGAGAAAUAGUCACAUCACAAUUUUUUUUUUCUGGGCUCAUGUGAAUAUUGUUUCAGGGACAAGAAGAAAAAAAAAUUUGUCUUCUCUAUUUCCUUAAGAAGGUCAGCAAGAUGGAACAGUUGCAUUUCAUAUGCAGCCUCUCGAAGGACAUUCAUUUUCUCCAGCAGAGCCCCAGGGUGGACAAGGAGGGCCAGCUGUGUGCAGCGUCUGUUGUGUACAGCAUUCAGGACAAUGUCCUCUUGGAUCCCGAGCUCUCCACACAGACAGAGCAGAUAAAGGAAGGUCCCUCUCCUGGUCUUCCUUCCAGGGAGGCUGUUGCUGAGAGAGGUUAAGGGACCUCCCAGAGUCCUCCUCAGGUGGGAGCGGAAGGUUGGCAUUGCUGACCUCCCAUAAGCUUUUACCUGAACUUGGGCUCUGCCUGUCUUUGUUCUGAGGUAAGAUGGUGUGUGUGCGCGUGUGUGCAUGUGUGUGUUUGGAGGAUGUAUGAGGCAAGUUCAAGGUUAAAGGCAGGAAGCACUAUAGCUAUUUUAUCUCUGUACAUGUCAUCUUGUCAAAAAAUUCUGAGACUCUUCAAGUCCCAGGACCCUCACAAGUGAGGGCGCAAUGUCAACCCACCAGCAGCUUGACUAGCCAUGGGAAUGGGAAUGGAGUUGCCU